AGCGAACGCUGGCGGCAGGCCUAACACAUGCAAGUCGAGCGAACCUUUCGGGGUUAGUGGCGGACGGGUGAGUAACACGUGGGAACGUGCCUUUAGGUUCGGAAUAACUCAGGGAAACUUGUGCUAAUACCGAAUGGGCCCUUCGGGGGAAAGAUUUAUCGCCUUUAGAGCGGCCCGCGUCUGAUUAGCUAGUUGGUUGGGGUAAUGGCUCACCAAGGCGACGAUCAGUAGCUGGUCUGAGAGGAGGAUCAGCCACAUUGGGACUGCGACACGGCCCAAACUCCUACGGGAGGCAGCAGUGGGGAAUCUUGCGCAAUGGGCGAAAGCCUGACGCAGCCAUGCCGCGUGAAUGAUGAAGGUCUUAGGAUUGUAAAAUUCUUUCACCGGGGACGAUAAUGACGGUACCCGGAGAAGAAGCCCCGGCUAACUUCGUG
rnacentral:rRNA from 1 species